GACGAACGCUGGCGGCGUGCCUAAUACAUGCAAGUUGAGCGCUGAAGGUUGGUACUUGUACCGACUGGAUGAGCAGCGAACGGGUGAGUAACGCGUGGGGAAUCUGCCUUUGAGCGGGGGACAACAUUUGGAAACGAAUGCUAAUACCGCAUAAAAACUUUAAACACAAGUUUUAAGUUUGAAAGAUGCAAUUGCAUCACUCAAAGAUGAUCCCGCGUUGUAUUAGCUAGUUGGUGAGGUAAAGGCUCACCAAGGCGAUGAUACAUAGCCGACCUGAGAGGGUGAUCGGCCACAUUGGGACUGAGACACGGCCCAAACUCCUACGGGAGGCAGCAGUAGGGAAUCUUCAGCAAUGGACGAAAGUCUGACCGAGCAACGCCGCGUGAGUGAAGAAGGUUUUCGGAUCGUAAAACUCUGUUGGUAGAGAAGAACGUUGGUGAGAGUGGAAAGCUCAUCAAGUGACGGUAACUACCCAGAAAGGGACGGCUAACUACGUG
rnacentral:rRNA from 1 species